GGUUUGGGUAGUGUGAGGAAGAAAGAAAGAGGGUUUCCACAGAUUUCGGCAAUCGACAUUGCAGAGCUUUUGAGAAAACAAACACCCCGCACCCGCUGCCUCUUCAAUUCUCUCUCUAUCUCUCAAGCUUUUGGGAAUAUUUUUUAUUAAUUUAUUCCCGUUUUGCCACCAUCAUUCCUUGUCGAUCAACUCGUCGACUCCCACAGUCACACCUUCCUAAACCCUACUUUUUAUUUGUUUAUUUUUUUUUCUAUAUUUAAUUCAUGGCUACGAGUAGUAGUGCUAACGGCAAUCCCGCGUCGUCGUCGUCGCCGACGCCUCCGUGGACGCAAAUUGUCCGGGGCGAAUCUGAGCCGAUCGUCGCUGCUCCUUCUUCACCCUCGAGUACGACGACGCACGUGAUGUCUUCUUCAUCGACGCCUGCGAUUGAUCCGGCUGUCCCGUCGGUGACGGUGGAGGAAUCGAUGUGGGAGGGGUCGGAGAGUGGACCGAAUGGCAAUGCGGGGAAGAGGCAGGCCUGGAACAAGCCGUCGAAUGGGCCAGUCGCGGAGGUUGGUCCGGUCAUGGGUGCGGUCUCUUGGCCCGCUUUAUCGGAGUCCACUCGGGCUUCGCCGAAACCGUCUUCCGAAUCGUUGAAAGCCUUGUCCGAUAUCGGAUCACCUGUCGCCGUAUUACAGGGGACUGGAACAACAUCUUCUUCCUCUUCACAUAAACAAGUCGGUAAUAAUGCGAAUCCUAAUCCAACAUCAAACCAUAGCAUAACCACGCGCCAGAGAUCCAUGAGGCGUAAUAAUGCAAGCACAUCCUCUAAUGGUGGCCUCCCUCAGCAGCAGCUAGCACCACCAGGUGCAGUGGUUGAAAUGGGUCCAAAUAACCCUUCACCUAAGGAUCACACACAAAGAAGUGGGUUUGCAUCACAAUCCCAUGGUGGUAAUGAUCAUCCACCGCAUCGUAACUCAUUUAGGAACCGCAAUGGUGGCUCACAUCCACGUGGAGAUGGUUCUCACCAUCACAAUUAUGGAGGCAGCCGUGGAAAUCAAGAUUGGAAUGCUCAUAGGAACUUUUCUGGUAGGGACAACCACAUGCAACCACAGAGAGGUGCUCCUAGGUUUAUUAGGCCUCCACCACCACCGCCUCUGAGUUCCACCCCAUUUAUUCCCCCACCACCUGUGCGGCCUUUUGCUAGUCCCAUUGGUUUCCCUGAACUGCCGCCUCCAAUGGUAUAUGUUGCAGCUCCACCUCCUGACUCACUCAGAGGCAUGCCUUUUGUUCCACCAAUGCUGCCUCAUCCAUUCUAUUAUCCUCCUGCGGACCCUCAUUUGCCUGCUAAGAUAGUGAAGCAGAUAGAAUAUUAUUUCAGUGGUGAGAAUUUGAUUAAAGAUACAUACUUGCGGCAGAACAUGGAUGAUCAGGGCUGGGUUCCUAUUACAUUGAUAGCACGCUUCAAACAAGUUGUGCUCUUGUCAGACAAUAUACAGUUUAUACUGGAUUCUGUGCGAACUUCUAGUAUUCUGGAAGUGCAGGGUGACAAAAUAAGAAGGCGCAAUGAUUGGAUGAGAUGGAUAAUAUCACCGUCAGUUCAUUUUCCUAAUGCUUCAGGCCAACAGAUCUUUGGACAGCCCAGUUAUGAUUUGCUGGAAGCUCGUGUCCAAAGCAUGGCACUGGAGGAGAGGACUACUAACCACCACACUACUGGGGGCCAAGCUGAUCCUCAUGGAGCAGCACUUGAGAAUGAGUUACCAUCUGAGGACUUGAGCAGCCCGUCGCAGCUGUCAGGCGGAAGGAAAACAGAUCAAAGCCAGUUCUGAUCACUCUAUUUCAGCAAGAAAUUAGAGAAAGAGAUGUGCGAGUUUGCACAUUUUUUUAAAAGAACUAAUUUCAGAAGAAAAGAAUGGGGGGUUGGGGGGGAGAUGACAAUGGUGAAGAUCUUGCAUUUUCUUGAAGAUAGUGGUCUUGCCGUGAUCACCUCCCACUUUCAGGAGGUUUUACAUACGACUCUGAGAGUGAUGGAACUGCUUGGUGGAUUUACGUCUGCCUAUCGGGAGGGGAAAGGAGUUAGGUGGGUUUUGCUGGAUGCCACAGCUCGUGCGCCACGACUGCUAUAUUAUCUAUUUUCGUUCUAGUUUUCCUUUGUUUUCUGGAUUUUUCUCUUGUCACAUAUACCAUAAUUAAAAUUACUUUUUAUAUAUCUUUGUUUCUUCAAACCUCUUGAACAACUUGCUGCUUAAACAUCCUUUGGAUUAUCCAGGUUGGGACUGGAUUUGGUUGGUGUGGUAUUCACUAUUCAUGUUAAUGUAAACUCUGGAGCCCUUGGA